UCCUUGAUGGUUAGGAUUAGUCACCUACA
rnacentral:piRNA from 1 species